UUAUAGAAUUGAUGAGUAUAUCAAUCGCUAUUUGUAAUUGAAACCGUAACUAUCAAAAAGCGAUUCUGAUUCCAUCAAUCUUGCCUAAAAUCUGGUGUGUUCUUCGAUCUAAACAGGCACAGGGCGGCGGCUAGGGUUCCACCACCACAUAAAGCUGACACUUCACUCUCAUUGUUAUUGUUUUACCAUACCCGGAUUUUGACCCGACUACAUAAACUCCUUAAUUAACCUAAUUACUCAUUCGCCUCAUUCAACAACGCUGCUGUGCAAAACACGGUCGGCAUCUACUUGGUUUUGCGAUGAAGGUAAAAUAUGAUAGAUUUGGAGACAAGUUCUUUGCAAUUCAAGAGUUUAUUAUGUGGGAAGGAAAACUAAAAGAGGGGAUUAUAGUGGAGAUUGUACCACCAAAAUCAUCUAAAACAGAGGUCCGAAGGUUAAAAGAUGGCGAAACUAUUGGCAAGAAAAGGUCGUGGCUGUAGCAAUAGUUAACCAUCGCAUCACUCGUUGGAUAAUUAGUUCGUAGAUAGACGUAUGGGGGUUGCUGGUUUUAAUGGUCAAGAUACUCAAUUUUUCCCAGUGGUGUAAAGGAUGCAAGUGGAAUCAUUUACACAGCAACUGUUGUCUCUGUUACAAUCUCCCAAUGUGGAGGUGUAUUUGAUACAUUCACAUAAGGGAUGAGCUUGGCACCAACCGGUACGGACCGGUAUUUGAAGUAUGCGAGAUGUUUCUCUUCAAAGCUCUAGGAAGAAACUAGAAUUGACGGGUGCUGGGGUUUUCUUGCGACGUCAGCCCGAAGCUCCAAUUGAGCCGGUUGAGAAAUGAGGAUUUUAACUAAAUAAAGUUAAUCAUGAUGAUGUGGCAUUGUGAAAUGAUGUUGAGUUGGAUCAACUUGCUAAUGGAGAAUUGGACUCGAAAGGGCGUUAGACUUUUAUCCGACUUGCAAUUAUCAGCCAUUGACACCAUCUAAUACUAUGGAGAAUGAUCCACAUGGAUAUGUUGUUGGUCUGUUGUUCUUAAAACAGACGAAGGUGACCUUUGGACUGUUGUUGUGAGAUAGACGUCGUCCAGAUACCAAAUGUCUAAUGGUUGGCGUACUUUUGAAUUUCUUCGUCGUUCAAAAAAGUGGGUCAAUGCAAUGGUUUAGUGAGUUGGGUUGUUGAAAACAAGGGAAUGAGGAGUAUGUAUGUUGCAUGAAUGGAAAAGUGUGAAGAAUCAAUGUUUACAGCAUGGGUACAACUUAUGGAUCA